CUACGGGAGGCUGCAGUGGGGAAUAUUGCACAAUGGGCGCAAGCCUGAUGCAGCCAUGCCGCGUGUGUGAAGAAGGCCUUCGGGUUGUAAAGCACUUUCAGCGGGGAGGAAGGCGUUAAGGUUAAUAACCUUGGCGAUUGACGUUACCCGCAGAAGAAGCACCGGCUAACUCCGUGCCAGCAGCCGCGGUAAUACGGAGGGUGCAAGCGUUAAUCGGAGUUACUGGGCGUAAAGCGCACGCAGGCGGUCUGUCAAGUCGGAUGUGAAAUCCCCGGGCUCAACCUGGGAACUGCAUUCGAAACUGGCAGGAUAGAGGCUUGUAGAGGGGGGUAGAAUUCCAGGUGUAGCGGUGAAAUGCGUAGAGAUCUGGAGGAAUACCGGUGGCGAAGGCGGCCCCCUGGACAAAGACUGACGCUCAGGUGCGAAAGCGUGGGGAGCAAACAGGAUUAGAUACCCUAGUAGUC
rnacentral:rRNA from 1 species